UUACAGAGAGCACAAAACGCUCCGGCGCCAUAGGAUGUGGCUGCGGCCGAUUAGGUAGACGGUGGGGUAACGGCCCACCGUGCCGAUAAUCGGUACGGGUUGUGAGAGCAAGAACCCGGAGACGGUAUCUGAGACAAGAUACCGGGCCCUACGGGGCGCAGCAGGCGCGAAACCUUUACACUGCACGAACGUGCGAUAAGGGGACUCCAAGUGCGAGGGCAUACAGUCCUCGCUUUUCCCUACCGUAAGGUGGUAGGUGAAUAAGAGCUGGGCAAGACCGGUGCCAGCCGCCGCGGUAAUACCGGCAGCUCGAGUGAUGGCCAAUAUUAUUGGGCCUAAAGCGUCCGUAGCUGGCCGAACAGGUCCGUCGGGAAAUCCGCUCGCUCAACGAGCGGACGUCCGGCGGAAACCAGUCGGCUUGGGACCGGAAGACCCGAGGGGUACGUCCGGGGUAGGAGUGAAAUCCUGUAAUCCUGGACGGACCACCGGUGGCGAAAGCGCCUCGGGAGGACGGAUCCGACAGUGAGGGACGAAAGCUUGGGUCACGAACCGGAUUAGAUACCCGGGUAGUCCAAGCUGUAAACGAUGCUCGCUAGGUGUGGCACUGGCUACGAGCCAGUGCUGUGCCGUAGGGAAGCCGAGAAGCGAGCCGCCUGGGAAGUACGUCCGCAAGGAUGAAACUUAAAGGAAUUGGCGGGGGAGCACUACAACCGGAGGAGCCUGCGGUUUAAUUGGACUCAACGCCGGACAUCUCACCAGCACCGACAGUGUGCGAUGAAGAUCAGUGUGAUGAGCUUAUUGGAGCCACUGAGAGGAGGUGCAUGGCCGCCGUCAGCUCGUACCGUGAGGCGUCCUGUUAAGUCAGGCAACGAGCGAGACCCGCAUCCUUAAUUGCCAGCAGUACCCUUGUGGUAGCUGGGUACUUU
rnacentral:rRNA from 1 species